rnacentral:rRNA from 1 species
UGGGGAAUAUUGCACAAUGGGCGAAAGCCUGAUGCAGCAACGCCGCGUGAGCGAUGAAGGCCUGGUCGUAAAGCUCUGUCCUCAAGGAAGAUAAUGACGGUACUUGAGGAGGAAGCCCGGCUAACUACGUGCC